UCUCUGGUAGUCCAGUGGCUAAGACUCUGAGCUCCCAACGCAGAGGACCUGGGUUCAAUCCCUGGUCAGGCAA
rfam:Ovis aries breed Texel chromosome 7, whole genome shotgun sequence.